rnacentral:rRNA from 1 species
CCUACGGGGGGCUGCAGUUUCGAAUCAUUCACAAUGGGCGAAAGCCUGAUGGUGCGACGCCGCGUGAGGGAUGAAGGCCUUCGGGUUGUAAACCUCUGUCACUGGGGAAGAAACGCUUCAAGUUAAUAGCUUGAAGCCUGACUUAACCCAGAGAGGAAGCAGUGGCUAACUCUGUGCCAGCAGCCGCGGUAAUACGGAGUCUGCAAGCGUUAUUCGGGUUCAGUGGGCGGAAAGGGUGAGGAGUGAAACGCCGGGGCUUAACCUCGGAAUUGCGCCUAAAACUACACGGCUAGAGCAUUGGAGAGGGUAGCGGAAUUCACGGUGUAGCAGUGAAAUGCGUAGAUAUCGUGAGGAACACCAGAGGCGAAGGCGGCUACCUGGACAAUUGCUGACGCUCAGGCACGAAAGCGUGGGGAGCAAAAGGGAUUAGAUACCCGAGAAGUC